GGCUCGGUAGCUUAGUUGGUAAAGCGCUCGUCUAGCAUACAAGAGUUCUGGGUUCAAAUCUCAGACGAGCAC
rnacentral:tRNA from 1 species